UUGGAGGGCAAGUCUGGUGCCAGCAGCCGCGGUAAUUCCAGCUCCAAUAGCGUAUAUUAAAGUUGUUGCAGUUAAAAAGCUCGUAGUUGAAUUUCGGGGUUAGUAGGUUGGUCAUGCCACUGGUAUGUACUGGUCUCACUGAUUCCUCCUUCCUGAUGAGACGUAAUGCCAUUAAUUUGGUGUUGCGAGGAAUCCGGACUGUUACUUUGAAAAAAUUAGAGUGUUUAAAGCAGGCUAACGCUUGAAUACAUUAGCAUGGAAUAAUGAAAUAGGACGUUCGAUCUUAUUUUGUUGGUUUCUAGGAUUGACGUAAUGAUUAAUAGGGAUAGUUGGGGGCAUUAGUAUUCAAUUGUCAGAGGUGAAAUUCUUGGAUUUAUUGAAGACUAACUACUGCGAAAGCAUUUGCCAAGGAUGUUUUCAUUAAUCAAGAACGAAAGUUAGGGGAUCGAAGACGAUCAGAUACCGUCGUAGUCUUAACCAUAAACUAUGCCGACUAGGGAUCGGAUGAUGUUAAUUUUUUAAUGACACAUUCGGCGCCUUACGGGAAACCAAAGUGUUUGGGUUC
rnacentral:rRNA from 1 species